AUUCACUGUGAGUCGUAAAGUCUUCCUGUGAUAUUUUUUCCUUCAACUCCUUCUUCAGUUCCCGACGAGGCCACCGAAUAUCAGUUUGUUUUUUCCCGGGUAUUGUGGUUAUAGAAGAUCUUCAACCAUGAGGGUUUCAACGUUUAUAAUAUUUGCCAGUUUACUUGGGACAUGCUUAACGGAUAAACUCAACCAUUUAAGUUCAACAAACAGUAUUCAUGGCAACGGUAAUGGAGGUAACGGCAAUGGCAACGGUGGGAAUGGCAACGGAGGACUAAGUUACUCCCCUCCAACAAAUGGCCACAACAGUAAUGGUGGCAACGGAGGUAAUGGAAAUGGCAAUGGUAACGGUUUAAGCAGCUACCAUCCACCAACAUACGGUUUCAGCAGCAACGGUGGUAACGGAAACGGUAACGGGAAUGGAAAUGGUGGCAAUGGAAAUGGAGGUAAUGGAAAUGGCAAUGGUAACGGUUUAGGCAGCUACCUACCACCAAAAUACGGUUUCAGUAGCAACGGUGGUAACGGAAACGGUAUCGGGAAUGGAGGUAAUGGAAAUGGCAACGGUAAUGGUGGAAAUGGCAACGGAAAUGGUCGCUACUCCAAUGGAGGUAAUGGAAAUGGCAAUGGUAACGGUUUAAGCAGCUACCAUCCACCAACAUACGGCUUCAGCAGCAACGGUGGUAACGGAAACGGUAACGGGAAUGGAAAUGGUGGCAAUGGAAAUGGAGGUAAUGGAAAUGGCAAUGGUAACGGUUUAGGCGGCUACCUACCACCAACCUACGGUUUCAGUAGCAACGGUGGUAACGGAAACGGUAACGGGAAUGGAGGUAAUGGAAAUGGAAACGGUAAUGGUCGCUACUCCAAUGGAGGUAAUGGAAAUGGCAACGGAAAUGGUAACGGUAAUGGUGGAAAUGGCAACGGAAAUGGUCGCUACUCCAAUGGAGGUAAUGGAAAUGGCAACGGUAAUGGUGGAAACGGCAACGGAAAUGGUCGCUACACUAAUGGGGGUAAUGGAAAUGGCAACGGAAAUGGUAAUGGUCAAAAUGGCAACGUUGGUCGACGAUACGGACUUCCAAGUGGAAAUGGCAACGGUAAUGGUGGAAAUGGCAACGGUAAUGGUGGAAAUGGCAACGGAAAUGGUCGCUACUCAAAUGGAGGUAAUGGAAAUGGCAACGGUAAUGGUGGAAACGGCAACGGAAAUGGUCGCUACUCAAAUGGAGGUCACGGUAAUGGUGGAAAUGGCAACGGAAAUGGUCGCUACUCCAAUGGAGGUAACGGAAAUGGUAACGGCAACGGUCAAAAUGGCAACGGGGGACAACGCUACGGACUUCCGUCAAACGGGAGGAAUGGUAAUGGUGGUUCUAGCAAUGGCAACAACGGAAGUGGGUCAAGAUAUAGUAAUACGAAGUAUUUGUCAUAUUUUAUCAGUAAUGGUAGCAACGGUAAUGGCGGCAAUGGUAAUGGAAAUGGUGGAAAUGGCAAUGGCUAUUCCAGUAGUAACGGAAAUGGUUCUAACGGUAAUGGAAAUGGUCACUCUAGUAGUAACGGUAACGGAUCCAACGGUAACGGUUCCAACGGGUCCAGCGGAUACAGCUACCCGGUGCCAGACACACCCUCCGGCCUCUACGAUACGCCCUCCCACUAGGCUCUCCUCACCUCACCUGUGUAUACGCCAGAGCUGCUCUCUCUAUAUGUAUAAACUAACAAUAUAUCCCGAAAUGUAUUAAAGGCUUUCAUGUUUCUCAAGUCUACCAGUCAUGUCUGAUGCGACGACGGGUAAUAUUCAAAUUAUCUCUACAUGAAUUUGUAACUAAACAAUAAUUAUCAAAUUAUCACUCCAUGAAUUCCUUUAAUAUAUUUUGUAUUAGUCAAUGAAGCAGCAACGCGGUAAUGUAUAGACAAUAUAUCUGUAGAUUUUUGAAGUCUUUCGUGGUGUGGAGUCUUCAGUAUUUGUUUAAUUUAUUCUGACCUGUGACAAAAAAUAAUCAGGUUUCAAUAAUAUUUACAUGUGCAGUAAGUUAUAUUUCUUGAAUACUUUCAUGCCAUUUAUUUACUGUUUAGAGGUGCCAUGAAAUUAUAAUAAACAUUUCUCACUAA